AGGAACGCCGCCAUGGAUGCCUCGACUGGACAGAGCACAACGCGCCUCAUCCUUGCUCCCGCACUAUGAUGUCUUCUCCUCCUGCAAUCGGCCGCGCCGAUCGAUCAGGUAUGGAUGAGAUGUUUUAUGGGUUUUGGUACCCCAAUGGUCUUGCACUAGCCACAGACAGCUUUGGAUUUGUGCCUUGGUUCAGGUUUAUAAAGCGUGGCAUGGCACAUGUACUAUAUUAUUGAGCUAUCAUCUUCUGGUUCUGGAUUUAUGGUGGCGGCAGUAUUGACGCUGAAGGAAUGGGAGAGAAAGACAAGCUUGCUCUUGUGCUACCGCUAGGUGAGGUGAUUGACUCGGGGGUGUCUUUUCUCAAAAAAGACAGGCUUAACCAUGAGAGCAUGAGAUCUUUGCACCUGUUGUUUGAUGCGUUUGUGCUCGUCGGCGGGACGGUGCAAGGUGCAACUCCGACGCGAUUCCUCGCCGGUUGGACGGCGUUCAGGCGCAACCCCGGCGCGCACUUAGUAUUGCCUCAGCUACAACCUCCCUCGGUGAGCUCCAUCUUCCUCCUGUUCCUCUUCUUUGGCUACUGUAUGUGACAUCAAGAAAUAAGAGAUGGAUGUUCCUACAAGCCUCCUCAGAGCUCAGUGAUUCUCAGCCGUUGGAUCGUUCCCCUUGAUGUGUUUUCGUCCGUCCGAUCAAGAUCUGGAGAAGGCUGGGCCGUUGGAUCUAGGGCAAACACUGCUAGAAUGAAUAAUUUCACUCUGUUUCGUGCCACCAUGCGUUAUUUUGGUGCCCCGCCGAGGGUAUUCUCGUCAUUUUGCUUUGUCUGUGGCGGUGGUGUUCGUGCUAGGGCGAUGAUGAUUAACUGUGGCUGAAAUAAGUGUGCCUUUGAGCAAUCGAGGUACCUAUGGGUAUCAAGUUGGAUCCUCCCUGUUGUCUCUAGAAUCAUUUUUGAUCCUGUGAUACCUAUUGAUCUGUCCUUGGAUGGUCAUUCUUGUUGAUUGAUAACCAGGGAAGCUCCAUUGUAUAAACAGAUUGAUCUGGUGAUAAGAGAUGAUGGGGGUAGGUUAUAUGAUCGAGGAAAGGCAAAUCUGAGCCCACUAUGCAAUGAACAUCAAACCCUUUUUAUUUGUAUUUAAAGGCGUUGCUUACUUAUGCUCCAGUGUUUAUAGCCGUCUUGUGUAAAGAUUUAUUCUCUCUUAUAACUUUAUUGCAUAUAAGUUGUUCUUGAUCUUUUAUUGUUCUUUGUUGGUCCUUGAUUUAGUCUGGUUAGGAACUCUUCUCUCUCUUAUGUAAAGAUUUCUUCUCUCUCAUACCAAUGUUUGUCCAUGUAGUAACAGAUAUAUAUUUCAAGCAUGACAUGAAUAAACCUAAAUGGUCUUUGAGAUGAGAUGCAUGGUUGUACAAUAUAGGGUACUAAGUUAGAGAUCGGCUUUCCCUAUGAAUGCAAACUAUUGUUGGCUAUAAACAUGUCUGCCUCCUAGAGUGUUUGGCCUAAUUAGUUAUUGGGUUGAUUUUGGUAGUUCUACUUUUUUGAUGCCAACAAUAUGCAAGUUAAUGUUCAGGGUGUGCUUUGGCCUUGGGAUUCUUUACUGUUUUUAUUCUAGAUGUGGUGGUCUUAUUAGUCAGUAUUCAGUGAAUAUAGUUUGUGCCUGUGUAUGCAAACUUUUCUUUCUUUCUUAGAAAGCUGCUAUUUUCAUUUAUUUGGAGAAGACCUCUGAAUUUUCAUUGCACAUGAAACGAGCCGCUGUCACUACCCAGCACAUGAGUACUCAAUGUGUGUAUUUUGAGGUAUACGUCUUCAAAAGAAAUUCGACUCUAUAUUAUAUGGGGAACUAUAGUUAGUAGUGUGUAACUGGACUCCUAUUUAUAGCAGUGGCAUAGCUGAUACUGGUCUCUAAUUUAUCAUUCCUUCUAGCUCUAAAAUACAUAUGUUUUUUCUAUGAUGUACUACUCAACUAUGCGUGCUAAACAGAGCAUGGUGACUACUAAUUCCUCAUGAGCUUCUUAAUAUUUGUCUCUGCACCAAGGAGGCAAUAAACAUGAACCAGAUAACUGUAUUUUUUCCCUAUUUUCACUGUAUGACAGUACAUCUCCAUUGUGCUUACUUUUACUUUUAUUUGCCAGGUCUGCAUAAAAUCAAGUGACUGUUGUACUCCCAAUUCAAUUAGCACGUUUCGGUUUGAUCCCUGCAUUUUUUGGCAAAUUUGUGUUCAUGAUAUCUCCAGUUUACUCCUAAUGUCAUCCUUUGUGCUUCUCAGAUCUGCCAGCUCCAUGGAGACAUGGAACCCCUCAUCAUUUUGUCGGACUAAGUGUGGAGUUACUUGUGCAAGUCACACCAUCAGCAAACACAUAAAGA